CACGUAGGGCGCAAGCGUUGUCCGGAAUUAUUGGGCGUAAAGAGCUCGUAGGCGGCCAGUUGCGUCUGCUGUGAAAUCCCGGGGCUCAACCCCGGGCGUGCAGUGGAUACGGGCUGGCUAGAGGCAGGCAGGGGAGAACGGAAUUCCCGGUGUAGCGGUGAAAUGCGCAGAUAUCGGGAGGAACACCGGUGGCGAAGGCGGUUCUCUGGGCCUGUACUGACGCUGAGGAGCGAAAGCGUGGGGAGCGAACAGG
rnacentral:rRNA from 1 species